ACAAGUAGAGAGUGUUGUCUCUGAUAAUCCUGUGCGGAUUGCACAGACCAGAAAGGGACAACACUUUAAAUUGCACAGACCAGAAAGGGACAACACUUUAGACUCAUGGCGGAUUACACAGACCAGAAAGGGACAACACUUUAGGCUCAUUGCGGAUUGCACAGACCAGAAAGGGACAACACUUUAGGCUCAUGCAUUAAGCCCAGUACAGACCAGAAGGGGACAACACUUUAGGCUCAUGCAUUAAGCCCCGAAAGGGACAACACUUAAGGCUCAUGCAUUAAGCCCAGUACAGACCAGAAAGGGACAACACUUUAGGCUCAUGGCGGAUUGCACAGACCAGAACGGGACAACACUUAAGGCUCGUGCAUUAAGCCCAGUACAGACCAGAAAGGGACAACACUUAAGGCUCAUGCAUUUAGCCCAGUAAGAGUUUGGACAGAGUUGAUGAGACCUCCAUUGUGAUGAACAGUAUAUUGGAGAAAGGUGUGAGUGUGGGGCCGAAAAGUGAGGUCACACAUUCUCACAUCCAGAGGCAGAUAACCAUUGGCAAGGAUUCCUUCAUAUCUGGACUGGUUACCAGCCCUGAGAGCGCGGUUCAUUGCUUCCAGUUUCCAGACAAAUUGGAGUUUGCAGAGUUCAUCAUCGUGCAGUGCUACACAUUUAACUCCCUUUCCUUGGCAAGUCCAUGUACCUGUUGACCACACAUGGCAGAUUUGACAACAUUGAGAUGCCGAUAUGGAAGGGUACAAGCAAUUUUUGUAACGACCCCUGGAUCUACAUGAUGAAUCGUACAGGCAUUGUGUAGGAAGAUCUCUGGGAAGCAGUUGAUCAGACUACAUGUAUUCAGACUGCGCUGAUGUUUCCAGUGCUCCAUGCAACAGAGCCCCUAGGUCUUACGGAGCCCCUCUGGCUUCAGGGGGUCAUAGGACACUGAGAACAGGCACAUACUCAGGAGGUGUAGACGUUGUGUCAGCAGUGAGGACGGACAGUGCCCCCACCCCGCCAGCUAGUAGCCGAUUAAUGAAAAACUGUAGUAUGCCCCCUUAAGGUGAAGUGUCAAUUGUUCAAGUCCUGUC